CCCAGAGAACCUGUGUCUACUUCUGAGCGCUGGGAAUGAAGCAGAUCUCGCAAAAGGGGAGGAAGGCCUUCACCGCUGAACCCGAGCUUUGCCAUUUCGAAGUGCUGAGUCACCUCGUCCUCUCAGGGUCAGACACUUUCACGCAGGAAACGUCCUGCAGAGCACCGCAGCGGGAGCACCGAGCUGGGUGGUAAUUUAUUCUAGAACCGAUGUGCCAGCGUUUCCUUCUGUGUGCUUUGAGUAGGAGCAGGAACAACGGAUCUCUCCAAGCAUGGGCAGACGGAGAGCUGCAACCCUUGGACCAACCAACGCCUGCCAGUGGGCGCCUGCAUCCCACGCCUGCAUCCCGCGUGCAGGCUACUGGCAGGUGCUCUGUGUCUCACUCCAUCUUUACCUGCCCUGUAAAGGAGGAACUGUUGUUUUUAGUCUCCUGGAGCAGCCGCGCCUUCCCACAGCACUCAGACUUGAGGAAGCUUAAGAAGCUGAGACCAGAGAGGGCGAUGUCCACCUUGGUGACGAAGCACUCUAGAGGCUGCCGCCACACUUAAAAAGUGACCAGUCACCAACAACUCAUCUUAAGUACAGGAAGAAUGCCAGCAGCUGAAUGAAAUUCUUGCUUUCCCUGGUGAACAACGAAGGGGAAGGGAAUGGAGUGUGGUGAAAGAGAGGGCAGAAAGGCUGCCAGUGUCCUCUUCAUCCCUGCCCCACCCCCACCCCCACCCCCCAGCACAGAGAGACCCGGGAAGAUUUCAAAUCUUUCCUUUAAGUGGCGGCUAAGGACAAAAUGAAAUGACUUAGCCACCUAUCAUGGUCUUUACUGAGUUAUAUCCAUGGAUAUAAGAUAAUUUGGCAUCUAAAAAACAAAGACAGGGCCAGUAAAAUGGCUCACUGGGUAAAGGUGCCCGCUGCCAAGCCAGAGCACCUGGGUUUGGUCCUUGGAACUCACACGGUGGGGAGAACAGAUCCCUUCAUGCUGUGUGCUGAUGCCCACAUGCAUGUUAGGAAAACACUUCCAGCCCCCUAAACUAACUUUUUCUAUUCCGUACUCUGCCUGUGACUAGACCUGGAAGGAGAGAACAAGGGCCUUCCUGAGGCAGGACAAGGACCCAGAACUACCCAGAAUGCAGCAGGGCGGCCCCGCACGACUGAGCUCUGAUCCUAACCUGCAAAGUGAAGUUUCAAUUUCCACUUCCUGAGAAGAUGUGGAAACUCAGAGAGGAUGCCACUGUUUUGAACUAUUUUGAAGGCACAGCCACCAGAGCUUUAGGGACAGGGUAUUUUAUCACAGCAACAGAAAUGAAACCAAAACAACUCCACAAUAAAAUUCUUGAGUUUCUUGGGGCCAAGAAGAUGACACGAUAAGAUAAAGACACUGGCCAAGCAUGACCUCCAGAGUUUGGCCCUUGCAUAAAGGAGAAAAUUAAUUCCUUCAGUUGUUCUCUGACCUCCACAUGCGUCCUGUAACAUGGGUGUAUGCAUACACAUAAACACACAUCCACACGUUGUUAAAUAAAUAAAAAAAAUAUGUUAACA
rnacentral:lncRNA from 1 species